GAUGAACGCUGGCGGCGUGCCUAAUACAUGCAAGUCGAGCGAACAGACGAGGAGCUUGCUCCUCUGACGUUAGCGGCGGACGGGUGAGUAACACGUGGAUAACCUACCUAUAAGACUGGGAUAACUUCGGGAAGCCGGAGCUAAUACCGGAUAAUAUAUUGAACCGCGUGGUUCAAUAGUGAAAGACGGUUUUGCUGUCACUUAUAGAUGGAUCCGCGCCGCAUUAGCUAGUUGGUAAGGUAACGGCUUACCAAGGCAACGAUGCGUAGCCGACCUGAGAGGGUGAUCGGCCACACUGGAACUGAGACACGGUCCAGACUCCUACGGGAGGCAGCAGUAGGGAAUCUUCCGCAAUGGGCGAAAGCCUGACGGAGCAACGCCGCGUGAGUGAUGAAGGUCUUCGGAUCGUAAAACUCUGUUAUUAGGGAAGAACAAAUGUGUAAGUAACUAUGCACGUCUUGACGGUACCUAAUCAGAAAGCCACGGCUAACUACGU
rnacentral:rRNA from 1 species